rnacentral:lncRNA from 1 species
CUGCUGGGGUGGGAGCUAGGGUGGCGGGGCAGGGCCGGGUCCUUGGCAAUACUGGGCAUGCAGGGCCUGGAGCUUGGACUGCCCAUCAGGCAGCACCCCCAGGCCACCGUGGCUAUGGCCAUGAUGGUGGUGGUGGUGGUGGUGGUGCGUGGAAGAAGCAGAUGAAGAGGAGGCAGAGGCCUGGCCUGUUGGCGGUGGUGGCAUCUGGAAGGGCCCCUUGCCCCGCUUGCUUCCAAAUAGGGAGCCCAGGAAGGAUGAGGAGUUGGAGACGGGCCUCUGGCUCUUGUACUCCUCUGGCGGCGGGGGUGGGGGCGGAGGUGGCAUCCUCUGGUGAGGGCGUGGACUGCUAAUAACAGACCCCUGG